UACGUAGGUGACAAGCGUUGUCCGGAUUUACUGGGCGUAAAGAGCGCGCAGGCGGUCGUUCAAGUCGAGUGUGAAAGCCCCCGGCUCAACUGGGGAGGGUCAUUCGAUACUGAUCGACUGGAAGGCAGGAGAGGGAAGCGGAAUUCCCGGUGUAGUGGUGAAAUGCGUAGAUAGUCGGGAGGAACAACCAGUGGCGAAGGCGGACUUCCUGGCCUGUUCUUGACGCUGAGGCGCGAAAGCUAGGGUAGCAAACGGG
rnacentral:rRNA from 1 species